AAUAUUGCGCAAUGGGGGAAACCCUGACGCAGCAACGCCGCGUGAGCGACGAAGGCCUUCGGGUCGGAAAGCUCUGCCAAUAGGGACGAAGUCUAAUAAGAAAAUAGCUUCAUAGGUGACGGUACCAAACAAGGAAGCCCCGGCUCACCACGUGUCAGCAGCCGCGGUAAUACGUAGGGGGCGAGCGUUGGCCGGAAUUACUGGGCGUAAAGGGCGUGUAGGCGGCUAAAUAAGUCAGGUGUGAAAACUGUGGGCUCAACCCAGAGAUUGCACCUGAAACUGUCUAGCUUGAGGGUAGGAGAGGAAAGUGGAAUUCCUAGUGUAGCGGUGAAAUGCGUAGAUAUUAGGAGGAACACCAGUGGCGAAGGCGACUUUCUGGCCUAACCCUGACGCUGAGGCGCGAAAGCGUGGGGAGCAAAC
rnacentral:rRNA from 1 species